UGAAGCCUGGUGGAGUCCGAUGGUUCAGACCAACUCUGAGAAAGUAUUUCUGUGAACUCACUGGAUCCAAACACAGCAAACACAAAACUCAAACAGUCAGAAAACAACAAGAAGGUGGAACACACGGAUGAGGAUGGGAUCUUCACUGUGUUUGUGUGAUGUGUAGAUGUGUCUGUGCACAUUUAGGGUGUUUUCACACAGUGUACUUGAAUCCGUACUGUACUUGGAUACGCUCGCACCUUUCCCACAGAUGUUGCGUUCACAAGCACAUACUGCGACCAGUACCCGAGUACAAAUGGGUGUUAAAGGGCUGAAACAGUAGGUGGCGGUGUGGAGGGAAUUCUGUCACUAUCCAACAAAUGCGGAAGUCAGAAGACGACAAACCCUUGUCUAUCUGUUAUCCUGUUUGAAGCAAAGAGAAGAAGAGUGAUAUUCGUUGUUCCUGAUAUAUCACUGAGUGGUUCAGUCGAUAAGGCGAGCCUAUGCUGCGCAGAUCCGAGGCUUUUUCAGGAGACAACAGGUGCGCCAUCUGUGGUCUCAUGGUGAUUAGGUCACUUCUGGUCUCGGGCACGGAUCACAUUUGGAACAGAACGCUUGCAUUCACAUGGACAAAAUUAAGCGGACUUUGGGGUCCAGUGUACUUGGAUACAGACUUGGGUAUGCUGUGUGAAAACGCUCUAAUUAAGUCCAUCUGUUCUUGAUGGUGGAUCUGAGCGUCUGUUCAAGUUUAUAUUUGCAUCUGAUUCCAGUCAUCCUUGUUUCACUGCUUCUUCCCAGAGUCUGAACUGAGUCAAACCUGAACACACACAUCUCAUAUCAACUACUGGAUCUGAACACACCACUGUUGUCCAUAUUCAUUCAGCACUGACGCAGAUAUCUGGACUUUCUACAGCACACAUUCUGUAAAUAGGCUGUAGUUUUUAUGCAUCAGACGUGAAUUAUCCUUGAUCUUUAUUUGACAUCACAACAUCCAGACUGAUUUGAACUGAAAUGGA